rnacentral:lncRNA from 1 species
AAGAAAUUCCAGAACAAUGGUGAUAAGAAUUUGGUAGGGAUUCUUGAAUCUCUGCAUAUUCCAUCAGUUUAUUUUAUUUUUAAAUUAUUUUUAGUUUUUUUUUUUUUUUUUUUUUUUUGUAGAAAUGGUUGAGGGGUGGGGGGUCUCGCUUUGUUGCCCAGGUUGGUCUUGCACUCCUGGGCUCAAGCAAUCCUCCCCCAUCAGCCUCCCAAAGUGCUAGGAUUACAGGUGCAUUUCCUUCCUUCCUUCCUUUCUCUUUCUUUUAUUAUUAUUUUUUAAAAUAUUUUGUUUAUUCUCUCUUCAAUCAUUACCAGUCAAGUCACCACAAUGAGAGUUAAGGGUGUGCUUGCCAUAAGGAAUAAUAACUCCCAGACUUGGGAGGGGAGAAACUUCACCAGAGAGUGGGCAUGGCAGCUGCGGUAGAUGAGAGAGGCAGUGUGGGUCAGGCCAUCCCUGAACUGAAGGCAAUGAGUCUACUCCUCUGGGGCCAGAGACUGGUCUUUCUAGCCCUGCAAUCCAUGUCCGCAAGUCUCAUUGCCUGGCAUGGAGAAGAUGGGAAGGAAAUGUGAGUGAAUACUCCUGCAGCUUCCCCUGCACCAAUCCUCUACAUGAUUCUGACUCUGCUCCUAACAAGGAUAAGCAGAUGGAGGCUGGGAACACACUUCCUUAGGAGUUUAAUUUAUUCCUAAUAACCAUGCUGCAUCGUUCUUGAACAAAAAUCAAUUUCCUUUCUGUUUAUGUCAAAACUCUCAUACUCUCCUCAGUGUCUUAAAAUCACUGGUGCAGAAAUUUCACAUCAAGAUCUCAUUUUGUGUCAAGAAACCCAAUUGCAUAAAAGCACUUCUGCUCUUGCAACAUGAAUUUUUAUGAAUUUUCUGGGAUGUAAAAUUCUUCACAUUAAAGAUCUAUCAUAACUAAGAGCAAAGUUUAGGCUAAUGACUU